CAAAUUUAGACAGGCAGCUCGUUAAUAUGAGAUAACUUAGAUUGUCUAGUAAUUAAAACAAUCUAAGGCCUGAUGUGCUUUUGAAAUAUACUACUUAACAAACAAACUCAAAUAAUAGAAUAUGAUUUAAUGCACCACCAAUCCUUUUUAACUAACUAAGAAUACAUGGGAAGUUUGCUAACUAAACUACUGUAACAUAAAAACUAUCCAGCUAUACAGUUAUAUGGCAGAAAAUUAAAUGAACUACAGUGUACAGAACAACCUAAGUAACAAUCAGUAACAGGAAACUAUAUCAAGUUUACAACUUCAUCUUCUUCAUGUUUAUAUUCAUGUCUCAAGUUUUAGCUUACAAUAACCAGUUGUGUACCUGAUAUUAGAAACAAAAGAAGAAGAUGAGUGAUCAGCAGGGUAGCAGUAGCAAAAUACAGCAACAACAACAACUCAGCAACACACAGAGAAGCCCAGUAACAAACAAUAGCAGAAACCCAGGAAUAGAUUUGAAAAACCAACGGAAAACCCCAGGACACUCAAUGCAACAGUGCUCAAAACCCAACAGAAAAACCCAGGCAAUAACAGAAAGGCACUAGAAUGAACAGAGCAGUAGUUUUCUGGUUUCAAACACUCAAAGGAGAAGAAUCCUGAAGCUUCAAUGAAACAAACAAACUAACACUGAUUUUCACCAACAAGAGAGACCUCACUUUUCUAGUUUUAUCUCUCAAACUAACUAACCUCUUAAUGCAAAAGUUCAUCCUAUUAUCACUCUAAAUUUCUCUGGAGUUUUUAUGUUAAAAUACCAUCCUAUAUGCUCUGAAAAUAAACUGACCUUCUAUGGUUGAAAGACCAGCCUUUUAUUUUGCUUUUUAGCUAUGAAUUCCUUAGUCAAAAUUCAUUCUAUCUCUCACUCUUCAAUCCUCAGGUCUCCUGAAGACUGGUUUUUCAGCUUCUAUUUAUAUGCAAACUACAGCCCCCCUUUUUAUUCAGAACUUUCACUUUUCAGCCUGUAUAUUCCUUCCCAUGUGCAUCCUCUACCAUUUUAUCAUUAAGCCCUUAAUGUUUCUGAUCUUCCACCUCUCAAGGUAUUUUAAAAAAUGUCAGUUUUUAAUUUUUUAUUAAAAACCUCAUGUUAUUUCUGAUUUCCAACUAGCAAACCCACUGAUUUUAUUUUUGAAUCCCAACGUAUAUGGGCAGCCUAAAUAUUAAUUUCAGGCGUGCCUGACAACAUAUGGUCUUCACUCAACCCUGGAACCAUAUGUUUACUAGUUUAAAGCUACCUCUAUAUAAGCUUAGACUUAAAAACUGAUUUUAGGUUAAAUUUACAGAUUACUUACAACUAUAUCCAAUUCAAACAACCUAACUUCAAAUACUCGUAUGAUUUCAGGCAGAAGGAACAGGGGAAUGAGGCUCAUGCUGAACAUGUGGUAUUCAAAUGAGUCAAUCAGUUCGGUAACGAGGCAAUUGGAUACAUUCAACAACUUUAACUCAAUCACAUAAAAACAGAAAAAAGUUAGAAAUGACAUAACACAAGGAUGAACAAUUCGCGAUUCCCUAGUUUCUUUCAGUGAAUUCAGUUGACGACAUUCAUUUAGUUGACUAUAGGAGCUACAACAGAUAGCUAACAAUUAAUAAACAAAAUAUCUGAAGCAGGUUACCAAAUUAGCUUCAGUGAUUUUACCAGUGAACCUUAAUAUGAACUAAACUAUUCUACGACUCUAAACAGGAUAAACACACAACUCACAAUAACAACCAAUAACAAACAAAUAGAAGCAAGUGACCAAAUAAAGGGUCUUAUGAAGACGGAGAGAAUUGAAAGAAAAAAUAACAGAAAAAUCAAACAAAUUAACUAGAUUUGUAGACAAACACAAAUAGAACUCAAACAAGAACAUAAGGGAAAGAAAAACUUAUCUUGGAUGCUCAAAACAAAACGACCUAGGCUCGAACCGGACUCGAUCAUUUGAGGUCGAACGGACUUUAAUCGAAGUGUUCUCAACUGAGAACACCUCAAUUAAGGUCUAUUAGACCCCAACCCUUUGUUAAUUUGGACAGACCCACAUGGAUUUGAGUUCUAGGGUUCUUGGGGCUCAGAUUAGGGGUUCGAGCUUUUCUGGUUAGAUUCGAACCAAACCAUGCUUGGUUUGGUCAUGAGGGAGGUCGGGGGAUUAACUGGUGUGAAUUUAGGGUUAGUUGGUGUAUGUUGAGGUUUGGCUCGACUCUUCAAAUGAAGAUUCCAGAAGCUAGGGGUUGAUUCAAGCCAAACGCUUUGUGGAUUUGGAUUCAGGGUGGCUAGAUGGUCCUAAGGUGUUAAUUUGGUGGUCAUCGGCAUCGUUUCCGCCGGGUUUCAAGCUUAGGGGUCCAAUGGCGGGUGUAGUGUUUGGGGAGUGUUUGGUUCGUCUCUGAGAGGGACGAUGGAAGGGGGUGCUUU
rnacentral:lncRNA from 1 species